UACGUAGGGACCAAGCGUUGUUCGGAUUUACUGGGCGUAAAGGGCGCGUAGGCGGCGCGGUAAGUCACUUGUGAAAUCUCUGAGCUUAACUCAGAACGGCCAAGUGAUACUGCAGUGCUAGAGUGUGGAAGGGGCAAUCGGAAUUCUCGGUGUAGCGGUGAAAUGCGUAGAUAUCGAGAGGAACACCUGCGGCGAAGGCGGGUAGCUGGGCCGACACUGACGCUGAGGCGCGAAAGCGUGGGGAGCAAACAGG
rnacentral:rRNA from 1 species